rnacentral:rRNA from 1 species
GAUGAACGCUAGCGACAGGCUUAACACAUGCAAGUCGAGGGGCAGCACAGGUAGCAAUACCGGGUGGCGACCGGCGCACGGGUGAGUAACGCGUAUGCAACUUACCUAUCAGAGGGGGAUAACCCGGCGAAAGUCGGACUAAUACCGCAUGAAGCAGGGGUCCCGCAUGGGGAUAUUUGCUAAAGAUUCAUCGCUGAUAGAUAGGCAUGCGUUCCAUUAGGCAGUUGGCGGGGUAACGGCCCACCAAACCGACGAUGGAUAGGGGUUCUGAGAGGAAGGUCCCCCACAUUGGUACUGAGACACGGACCAAACUCCUACGGGAGGCAGCAGUGAGGAAUAUUGGUCAAUGGCCGAGAGGCUGAACCAGCCAAGUCGCGUGAGGGAUGUAGGUUCUAUGGAUCGUAAACCUCUUUUAUAAGGGAAUAAAGUGCGGGACGUGUCCCGUUUUGUAUGUACCUUAUGAAUAAGGAUCGGCUAACUCCGUG